UAAGGAAUCUUCCACAAUGGACGAAAGUCUGAUGGAGCAACUCCGCGUGCAGGAUGAAGGCCUUCGGGUCGUAAACUGCUUUUAUGAGUGAAGAAUAUGACGGUAACUCAUGAAUAAGGGUCGGCUAACUACGUGCCAGCAGCCGCGGUCAUACGUAGGACCCAAGCGUUAUCCGGAGUGACUGGGCGUAAAGAGUUGCGUAGGUGGUUAGUAAAGCGAAUAGUGAAACCUGGUGGCUCAACCAUACAGACUAUUAUUCGAACUCACUAACUCGAGAGUAGCAGAGGUAACUGGAAUUUCUUGUGUAGGAGUGAAAUCCGUAGAUAUAAGAAGGAACACCAAUGGCGUAGGCAGGUUACUGGGCUAUUUCUGACACUGAGGCACGAAAGCGUGGGGAGCGAAC
rnacentral:rRNA from 1 species